AUGGGUGUCAAGCUACCGGAGGAGGGGAAGAAGGCGCUAUCCCUCGCCUAUCGGAGCGGGCUAAAUGCCGUCGAAAGGGGGAAGGCCGUAUCCCUCGCCGUCCACGGCGGGCUCAAAGCCGAGGUCGCCGUCUACGUCGCCGUCCGGAGCGGGAUCGAGGCCGAGAAAGUGAGGAAGCUGGUCGACAACGCCGUCCAGCGCGGCGGACUGGAGGCCGAUGAGGCGGAGAAGAUCCUCCACCUCGCCGUCCGGAGCGGGCUCGACGCCGAGGAGACCCUCUCCGCCGCCAUCCGCACGGGCCUGAAGACCGAGGAGGAGAUACACGCCUGCCUGCUCCAGCAGCUGCUCGCGUCCUUCGACAAGCGAAACAGGAACGACCCCGAGCUGGACAAGUGGAUACGCCCCGUCGACAGGAGCAGAAAUGCCCCCAAGUUCCCCUUCUUCCUCUUCAAGAUGAAGGCGUUCGCUGAGAAAGCGCAGGUAUCAUGGUGGAUGAAGAAGUACGAUAUAUUCCCUCCCGAGCGGCCGGGGUACACCUGCGCCUUGCGGGUCGCGCGCCUGGUGAUCGGACCGGAUGGAUUCCGUCUGGAGCAGGCAGGGGAGGGUGGGCAGCCGGGUGCGAUAUCCUACCAUACCGACACGAGUUACAAGAAGUGGCUACGUCCCAAAGAAGGCAUCUUCAAGGAGGGCUCCUCUCCGCCUCUCAGGGAGGUCGCCGUGAUCCAGAGGCUGCCCCGCGGCGAGGGGAUUUCCAUCAUGUCUCAUGUGAAAGGGCUUGGUGUCAAGCUUGGUGAUGUCCUCUUUGUGUUGCACGGUUGGUCUUUAACCGUAGCCCUGACCUUCACCGAACGGGAGUUCUAUGUCUCUUCCAAGUUCACAAAGGAGUCCUUGUAUGCUAGCGCUGAUCUUGAUUUCAUAGACAUUACGGUCCCUGUUGAGAAUCUCACCAAGAAGCUUUACCAGAUGUAUAAGCUGGAGGGACAAGAUAAAAGGAAAGUGCAGCAGAAACAAGAUAAUCAGCAGACAGCGAAGCUGAUGUGCCAGCAGGAGGAACGGAUGCGCCAGCUAGAGGACCAGAAAAAGGAGAAACUGGAAGUCCGGCAGAGGAGAAGGGCUGAGAGGAAGAAAUAUGAUGGCCUGCAUAUGGAAAUGAAGAAUGUGGUUCGACAGAUGAAGCAAGGAGCAAGUGCUGAAGGAAUACAAGGGCAACUUGAAGAAUUUGAGGACACUUGCUAUUGCACCCCAAUGCGUUUUCUUUUCGGAAAACCUGAACUUGAUUUGGCGAAACCAUCGGAAGAGGAGCUAUGCCAAAGUGAUGAGAUGUGCAAGGAGUGUCUAGAGGAGUCUAUGAAGCUUGCAGUACAGAUCGGUCAGCUUAAUCUUGGUGGUGGUGGAGCUGGGGCAGGUAAGGGAAUAGAGAAACCAUCGCCAGCAUGA
rnacentral:rRNA from 1 species